CCUACGGGGGGCAGCAGUGAGGAAUAUUGGUCAAUGGGCUAAGGCCUGAACCAGCCAAGUCGCGUGAGGGAAGACGGUCCUAUGGAUUGUAAACCUCUUUUGUCGGGGAGCAACGAGGCCACGUGUGGCCGACGUGAGAGUACCCGAAGAAAAAGCAUCGGCUAACUCCGUGCCAGCAGCCGCGGUAAUACGGAGGAUGCGAGCGUUAUCCGGAUUUAUUGGGUUUAAAGGGUGCGUAGGCGGAACAUUAAGUCAGCGGUAAAAUCGAGGGGCUCAACCCCUUUAAGCCGUUGAAACUGGUGAUCUGGAGUGGGCGAGAAGUAUGCGGAAUGCGUGGUGUAGCGGUGAAAUGCAUAGAUAUCACGCAGAACUCCGAUUGCGAAGGCAGCAUACCGGCGCCCGACUGACGCUGAGGCACGAAAGCGUGGGGAUCGAACAGGAUUAGAUACCCCUGUAGUC
rnacentral:rRNA from 1 species